rnacentral:snRNA from 1 species
AUCGCUUCUCGGCCUUUUGCCUAAGAUCAUGUGUAGUAUCUGUUCUUUUCAGCUCGAUAGCUCCACCUGAUUUAUGAUCAGGGGAUCGGGUUUCGGUCACUUUAGGUACAUUCUUU